rnacentral:lncRNA from 1 species
GUGGAUGAUAUUGUGUUUUUGGCAUGAGAAGGGAGGUCUUCUAUUUAUAGAUGUUCAAAAUCUUUCCUCUAAGAAAGAGGUUAGCCAAAUAUGGAAAAGAAUUAUAUUUUUUUUCUUUUUAAAAAAGUAAAAGUAAUUAUGGUAACUUUUAUUUUCCUUCUAAGAAAAAAUAAAACUUAAAUAUAGUAAGAAAAUCAUGGCAAAAAACCCUAACAAAUCUCCCCUUUUGGCUUGAUUUUCUUCACUUGAUCCGUCUUCUCUUCAUAUCACGUGCAUGAACUUCGUUCUUGAUAUAAUCUUCAUAACUGUUGCUUGCCAUGGUUAAAAAUAAGGUUUAAAAUAUCAUGGUUAAAAAUUAGUUUAAAAGUAAUAUUUUAUUUUUAUUUUUAAAGAUGCAGCAGCAGGAGUGUUGAAAAUAUGGUUGAAACUUGUUCUCCACAUGUAGUUCGACAAAAAUCUUCAUUAUCAUCCAAAUUAUUGCAGCUUAAUUUUGAAACCGCUUCGAACUUGUUUGAUCUCGUCUCACCACACCAUUGGACCAUUGAACCGUAAGCUCUGAUACCACUUGUUGGGUUCGAAAUUAAGAGGGUGUUAUGCAGAAGCUAUUAGUUGCAAAUUAUUGAGACGAUAAAUCAGAAAAAAAGAAAAACAUACAAAAAACAUGAUGAUUAUAUAGUUUGGUCAAUUGGCCUACAUAUAAAAACCUAAUAUAAAAGAAAACAUGAAACUAUUAGAGAGAAAAUCUCCCCCUAAACAAAACUCUUUAAACGACUACAUU